rnacentral:rRNA from 1 species
UACGUAGGGUGCAAGCGUUAAUCGGAAUUACUGGGCGUAAAGCGUGCGCAGGCGGUUAUGUAAGACAGGCGUGAAAUCCCCGGGCUUAACCUGGGAAUUGCGCUUGUGACUGCAUAGCUAGAGUAUGUCAGAGGGGGGUAGAAUUCCACGUGUAGCAGUGAAAUGCGUAGAGAUGUGGAGGAAUACCAAUGGCGAAGGCAGCCCCCUGGGAGAAUACUGACGCGCAUGCACGAAAGCGUGGGGAGCAAACAGG